rnacentral:siRNA from 1 species
UAAUUAUUCAUUGGCUUGAUGCGU